AUUGAACGCUGGCGGCAGGCCUAACACAUGCAAGUCGAACGGUAACAGGAAGAAGCUUGCUUCUUUGCUGACGAGUGGCGGACGGGUGAGUAAUGUCUGGGAAACUGCCUGAUGGAGGGGGAUAACUACUGGAAACGGUAGCUAAUACCGCAUAAUGUCGCAAGACCAAAGAGGGGGACCUUCGGGCCUCUUGCCAUCGGAUGUGCCCAGAUGGGAUUAGCUAGUAGGUGGGGUAACGGCUCACCUAGGCGACGAUCCCUAGCUGGUCUGAGAGGAUGACCAGCCACACUGGAACUGAGACACGGUCCAGACUCCUAUGGGAGGCAGCAGUGGGGAAUAUUGCACAAUGGGCGCAAGCCUGAUGCAGCUAUGCCGCGUGUAUGAAGAAGGCCUUCGGGUUGUAAAGUACUUUCAGCGGGGAGGAAGGGAGUAAAGUUAAUACCUUUGCUCAUUGACGUUACCCGCAGAAGAAGCACCGGCUAACUCCGUG
rnacentral:rRNA from 1 species